AAAAUGUAUAAAACAUUAAUCAAAGGUUCAAAAGUUCUUUUACAAUGAAAAUAAACAACUAUUUAUAACCAAAACAAGGGCUAGCUGAAUAGUCAUCUAAUUUCAGCUUUUAAUGAGCUGAAAUUUCUAGAAAAAUUCAAGAAAAUUCCAGGAAACUUUUCCAGCAAUGAAAACAUCUUUGGACAGCUUCUAGAGCGUCUAAAUGCAGCUGGAAUUAAUUGGGAUGCAUGGGAACUGAUUGGCUUUGUUGAGGACGUCUAAGGACAGC
rnacentral:lncRNA from 1 species